ACCAAAUUUGCAAGCCGUGGUGACUGGGAUAAUGGAGGUGCCCUUGAAAUUAAUGGGGAGGGUAAGAACCUUUUCACUCUCUCCCAUGGUCACUUUGGUGAGGUCUGACUUAUCAGAUGAGCUGAGAAACACCUUAGAAAACAAAGAAAAGGAUCAAGUGCGAGGCUCAAAGUAAAGUGAGAGGAAUCAGAGGCAACAAGUGAAGAAACUGGGAGAGGCAGCAUGUCACACCACAUCCACAUGGUUCUAAGGACUCCUCUACAAGGGCAUCUAGGUGGUAUAGUAAAUAGAAUGCCAGGUCUGGAGUCAGAAGACUGAUCUUCCUGAGUUCCAAUCUGUACUUAAAAAAUUACUAGCUGCAGGACCUAGGGCAAGUGAUUUAACCUCCUCUGCCUCAGUUUCCUCAUCUGU
rnacentral:lncRNA from 1 species